CCUACGGGAGGCAGCAGUCGGGAAUUUUGCCCAAUGAGCGAAAGCUUGAGGCAGCAACUCCGCGUGAGGGAUGAAGGCUCUCGGGUCGUAAACCUCUUUUCUCAGGGAAACGGUACCUGAGGAAUAAGCGACGGCUAACUACGUGCCAGCAGCCGCGGUAAUACGUAGGUCGCAAGCGUUGUCCGGAUUUACUGGGCGUAAAGAGCGCGCAGGCGGCUGGUCAAGUCCGAUGUGAAAUCUCCCGGCUCAACUGGGAAACAGCAUCGGAAACUGAUCGGCUUGAAGAUGGGAGAGGGUAGUGGAAUUCCCGGUGUAGUGGUGAAAUGCGUAGAUAUCGGGAGGAACACCAGUGGCGAAGGCGACUACCUGGCCCAUCUUGACGCUGAGGCGCGAAAGCUAGGGGAGCGAACGGGAUUAGAUACCCUUGUAGUC
rnacentral:rRNA from 1 species